rnacentral:rRNA from 1 species
AAACGACUCUCGGCAACGGAUAUCUYGGCUCACGCAUCGAUGAAGAACGUAGCAAAAUGCGAUACUUGGUGUGAAUUGCAGAAUCCCGUGAACCAUCGAGUUUUUGAACGCAAGUUGCGCCCGAAGCCUUUUGGCCGAGGGCACGUCUGCCUGGGCGUCACACA